CGGGAAGUAGCUCAGCUUGGUAGAGCACUUGGUUUGGGACCAAGGGGUCGCAGGUUCGAAUCCUGUCUUCCCUG
rnacentral:tRNA from 1 species